UAUAGUCCCCAUAUUUAGUAAACCAGCGGAUUAGAGAGAAGAUUGCUUUUUUCCCCACUUUUUAACAAAUAAAGGUGAAAAGGAAACCUGAAGACCCAUGGCCUUUAUUUAGGCAUAGGUGUUUUAAUAACAUGUAAGUGUGCAAAAACAGUUUAGCGUUAUAAAACUAAUGUGUUGUAACAAAAAAAGGUGUUUUUUUUUUAAUUUUAGGCUAACCCGGGCCAUUUUAUAGUAAAAACAGCAGGCUCUUGCAGCAGCUCUUAGCAAAAACAGUCUCUGUAAGUCAGUAAAUUAAAAAUAAACAGAACAAAACAUAACAAGGUCUUCUUUUAAAGCAAAAGAACGCCAAAAACAGGUAUUAAGAAGCAUACUAAUUUGCUAUCAAAACUAAGCUUUUUAACCAUUAAAGUUUAAAAGCUAAAGUGUGUAGCCAAAAACCUUCCCGCGUUUUUAAAAAAAACCAACUAAGACAACUCCCCCUCCGCUCUUAGCUAAACAGCCAGAGCCUUCGGCUUUUUUUUAACCCUGUAACAAAAGCUAAAUACCGUUUAAAAAUAUGUUUUAAAGAAAUACAUAAUUUUUUUAACUUACUAACAAUGUAAAAUAAGUUGUGUAAAAGUUUAACGUGGUUUAUUUUUAAAUUAGCAGUUUUGUUUUAAAAACUAAGGCCAUAAAACAAAUUAAAGAAAUACAGGUUGCAGUUUUUAAAAAGUUUUUGGUUACAAGGGUGUAAAUGGGUACAUUACCAUUUAAAAAAGGCUUUUUAUUAACUGUUUAAACACAUUUACUAUACAAAAUAACAUUUUUAGCCAUUAAAGCUAAAGUAUGUAGGCACUCCCCAACCCACACCCGCCUUUUUUCCUAGAAAAGUGCCCUUUACACACCCUGUUUUUUUAAAGAAACGUCUUUUUAAAUAUUAAUUUUGGGGAGUGGAGGGCAAAACAUUUUUUUUAAUUAGAGGUUUAAACCUAUAAAUAGAGGAACAAAAAACUGAACAAGACUGUUAAAGAAAUAUUGCUAAUACAAGACUUUUACCGUUAUGGGGAGCAACAACAUGGACGAGGCCUUUUUUCUUGACAUUCCAGAUGCCGCGCUACAAGCUUUAAACUUUGAACAAGAUGGAAGUCAAAACCACCCAAUAGUUUUCCUGAAAUUACAGAAGAAGACUCAUCAAGCGUUAUUCCUCAAGAAGAAAUGUUGAAGGCGAGCGCGUUUAAAGAGGCCAAGAAAUUUCCCUUUGAGGCAGCUGCAGUUGGAAGCAAGGGUAUUAAGCACAGCGAUUUUGAAGAGCCCUGCGCGUCCAAAUCCCUUAUUGCACAAAACCAGCCGGCACUAAAAAAGGCCAAAAAGUCUACCUCUAAAACAGCAUUCGUUUUCAGGGAGGGGGGAAAGGGGCUCAGACCCCCCCCAGCUUUUGAACCACCCAAAGCUACCUCUACAACUUCCAGGAACCAUGGUAAGCGAGGCAGAGGAGUUAAAGCCCCUAGUUUUCAACAGACCUUUGUCUCCCCGACC